rfam:Clostridium sp. CAG:1024 genomic scaffold, scf449
CCGCGCUAAGCGGGGAGGUAGCGGUGCCCUAUGCCUGCAAUCCGCUAUAGCAGGGUCGAAUUCUCGUCCUGAGGCCAAAGACUGCGGAACCGGACUUCAUGAAGGAAUGUUGAUCUCCGGGUCCUGUGCAAUCGCUCGCCGUGAACCAUGUCAGGUCCUGACGGAAGCAGCAUUUAGCGGAGAGAGCGGUGUGCCGCAGGUUCACCUGGAAGGAGUCACCUGAUGAGGAGACGACCACGGGUUCUGCGAUCGAGGGAGGAGUGCGCGG